rnacentral:tRNA from 1 species
GCGCCGUAGCUCAAUAGAGCAGCAGAUUUCUAAUCCGCAGGUUGCGGGUUCGACUCGACCCCUGCCGGGCGCACCA